rfam:Fonticula alba strain ATCC 38817 mitochondrial scaffold supercont2.211, whole genome shotgun sequence.
GAGGAUGUAACUUAGUCUGGUAGAGUAUUAGCUUGUCACGUUAAAGGUCGUGGGUUCGAGUCCCAUCAUUCUCG